rnacentral:lncRNA from 1 species
UUGAUUAGAAACUUGGAAAAGUGAGUUUUUAUGAAAGGGUAAAAAUAUGAAAAGAAACAAGAAAAAGAAAUCACCCUUGAAACCAUAGAGCAAAGAAAAAAGAAAAAAGCAAAGAAAAUGCUCAUGGUUGUGUGGAUUUGAAAAGAAAAAAAAAGAAAAAGAAAAAGAUAGGGAUCAAAGAAAGGGAAAUCGUAUAGAGUUGAAUGUUUGGGAUUGCUCCCUUAGGAUAGGCAACUUUGUUGAAUUCUCUUAAUCAUAUUCUUUCUUGUAACCUAAGCCACAUUACAACCUUUGAAAGACCUCUUGAUUCUCAUUUUUCACAUCAUUUGGUAUUUG